rnacentral:rRNA from 1 species
CUGCCUACGGGAGGCAGCAGUGGGGAAUAUUGCACAAUGGGGGAAACCCUGAUGCAGCGAUGCCGCGUGGAGGAAGAAGGUUUUCGGAUUGUAAACUCCUUUUAUCAGGGACGAUAAUGACGGUACCUGAAGAAAAAGCUCCGGCUAACUACGUGCCAGCAGCCGCGGUAAUACGUAGGGGGCAAGCGUUAUCCGGAUUUACUGGGUGUAAAGGGAGCGUAGACGGCAGAGCAAGUCUGAAGUGAAAGCCCGCGGCCCAACUGCGGGACUGCUUUGGAAACUGCCCGGCUAGAGUGCUGGAGAGG